CGCCGGUGAAUCGUCCGUCAAUCAGUGCUUAGCCUUUUCCGAAUAACUACAAUCGUAUCAGUCGGUAAUCAUUUGUAUUUCACAAGGACUUAUUUAAUAACAAACGCCGAAUCCAUCAGCAUACGUUGUUAGUUACUCGUACCUUGCAGUCAGUUGCAUUAAGCAGGCUUACCAAACCGGUGAUUAAGAAGGCCUCUUGAAAAUGAAUCCCGCAGCGGCUAACGCCACUCCCAUGAUCGCCAUCGGCAUCAUUCAGCUUCUUUCUGGUAUUGCCAUCUUCCUUACUGAUGUUUUAUCGCUGUCGCUGUACGGAUUCUCGGGACGGUCUACACCGGCAUCGUCCUGGGCAUCUUCUACAUCAUCACCGGCUCCAUCGGCGCAGCCGCCGGGUCCAGCGCCCGCAACCCCGCCGGAUCAGGGCGGUGUUUGGCCAUCGCUUCACUGGUGAUGAGCAUUCUGUCCAUCCUGAACGCCUUCAGCCUGAUCAUCUGGUGCAGCUUUUUCCUCAGCACCGUUUGGUAUCCCGGCUACUAUUACUUUUCGUUAUCCGCUACUACGGACCCAGUGUGGUGGGCGCCCAGCUAGCCUUCUUCGUCAUCGUCUUCAUCGCCAGCAUCGUCAUGUGUCUUCAGCACGCGCGCCAUGAACGCCAUGCGCAGCAGCAUGAUGACGACGGUGACACACGUGACGCAUGUGGUGCAGCAACCGGGAAUGGUGUAUAAUACCGCGCAGUAUCCCGGUCAGCAGUUCGUCUAUCCGCCACAGCAGCCGUAUGCGCCGCAACAGCCGUACGGACAGCCGCCCGCCGGUGCCUAUGCGUAUCCGGGACAGCAGUCCUACGCGCCUCCGGCUCCGCUGAAAGUUUAAGCGAUUACCGUGAUUGAUGCUCCAUUGUUGCGUGGUUAUGAUAUCGAUUAGCACGACGGAAGUGUCACUGAUAACUUAUGAGUAAUAACCCCAGCUCCAAUAACAUAGAAAAUUUACACGUCCUGUAUAAAGUGGCACAACGUCGUAUAUGCAGUUUGUAUGUGUGUACGAUUCUUGCCUAUUACGAUGCUUUAUUCUUAAUCAUCGAAUGUUGAAUAAUUUAUAUUUGACGUAUUUCAGACGUGCAUCUGAUCAUAACGCUGAACGACUGUAUAAAUGAAAGUUAAGUUUUACUUAGCUAAUGUUAAAUUGGCGCAGUUUACGUAUCCUGUGCAGUUGUUUCCCUGUUCAUCUCGGCACCGGCAGCAUGGUGCCGUGUGCUUUUUGCCGUUCGUGCGUUACAGCUCACUGACAUUUGCAUUGGUGGUUUUUGCUGCGUUCAUACUGUUACGUUUUGAAUUAGUUCUCCGUUGAAUAACGGUGUUCACAACAAUCUCUUAUCAUGCCACCGAAGAAGAAGCCCAACAGUAACCUCAGCCCGAAGAAAAAGCGUUCAGGGGGAGGCACCAGAGGAGGCCGGGCUCCACGAACUAACACGCGUCCCAGUCGAAAACGCAAUCGAUCCCCGUCCCCCGCUCCCACAAUCAGGUCGCAAGUGGUGGUAGUUGAUCCACCUCCGCUUGAUUUACAGACCCUGAUCGCACGCCAACAUCAACAGCACCAGCAACAAAUCCAGCAGCUCCUGGACAUUGCCACACCGCUGGCAACCAGGGAGCUGGGAGUUCCCCGGCCAAUUUCUCCAGCGACUGCAUCUGUCAUCCAGAUUGAGUCGCAUCCGGAUGGAAAGAGGGAUGUGCAUCAGAGGGGUGAAAGCAUUAAACGCUCGCACCGCCGACGUAGAGACGGAGCGUUUUCGGAAGCUAGCCGUCCAGGCCUCGCAGCGGCCGACACCAUGUCCGGAUAUCUUUGGGAACCUGCAGGAGACAUACGACCAAACACCACUCUGCAGCGCCUCCUCGGUGCACACAUCUCAUCAUCCUCCCGCACGACGUACGACUGUUCACUGAACCGCUUCCGAACGUUUUGCCUUGAGAAUCGCCUAACGCCGCUUCCGGCAGCUCCGGCAACAGUGGCCGCCUUUGUCGCACAUCUCUUCGAGGACAAGGCAGCAUUUCGGACAUGCAAAGUGUACUUGGCGGCAAUACACAAUUACCACCGAGAGGCAGGACUUCCUAACCCAGCAGCCGACGACCUGGUGAUACGAGCGGUCAACGGAUACAAGCGGCUCAAUGGUCCGACACCUGACCGACGUCUACCAAUAACUAUGGACGUGAUGCGAUCGCUUAAAACCCGACUGGCAGAAUAUAAGAACACCGAAGAAGCCUUGAUGUUGUGGAGCGCGUUUUGCAUGGCAUUCUUCGGGUUUAUGCGCGUCAGCGAGAUCGUCAGUAAGUCGCGGAACUCCUUCGAUGCAGCUUCAACUCUGACGUUCGACGACGUGGAGUUGACGAGUGAGUGUGUGAUAAUCACACUAAAACGUACGAAGACCGACCAAUGCGCAGCAGGCACAAAGAUCGAGCUCACUGCCACUAACCGCUCAGUGUGCCCUGUGCGCGCCAUCGGCAUGUACCACCGUCAGCGGAGGCUGCAAGGCGAAAGUACGAAGCCUUUCUACCGCCACUCUGACGGUCGCUACCUCACGCGGGAGACAGUGGACCGAUCCAUGAAAUCUCUCCUGGAAGGGCACCCCGAUCGCUUGCGCUUCAGCACCCACAGUUUCCGCAUUGGAGCGGCGACGGAAGCUGCCGCACAGGCAGUACCGAAGGAUGAAAUCAAGCGAGCCGGACGAUGGAAAAGUGACUGCGUGGACCGAUACAUCCGGCCGGAUGUGCUUACCAACCCGAACUUUUAUCGGAGAAGAGUUUGUUUGGGGGCGAAGGGACCGGGCACAGGCGGAAGGUGCCGGCAGUGAGCAAUCUGUACCACAAGGUAAGAUACUCAGCUGUAAUUGCGCACUUCCGGCCAUGCCGGCACUCUUCAAACCUCAGUAACCGCACGGAAAGUCUGCGGUCGCCCAGCAUACCGGGCCUCGGGAUAGGAAAUUCGCAUACAAUUUAACGUCGGUUUGUGGUUGUGACGUGUUAUCGUGCGAUACAGAUCUGCACGCGGCAAGCACACGGCAUUUCACGUCUUGUCAGUCCAACAAAAGUGCCAUACACUAUGAAAUACCGCAAACACAUCCAUCACCUGUUCUUAUUAAUUUACCUUGAGAUUAAAAUCGAAAAUCAGAUAAUGCAGGGAACUACGUAACUUGCCAGGCUGCAGCAUGUUUGCUCUGAUUUCGUGAUUAACACUGCUCAAAAACGGAUGCGAUGUCUUUAUACACCGGCGUCUCAUAUGAAUUUAAUGAUAAGAAACACCAUUUAACUUGCGUCUUUGCGCCUUCACUCGCAUUCGGUUAAAAACAAGGUACCGCUAAAAUAAGGCACUGAACAGCCCUGAAUUAAUAUACUGAACUGAGUAGCCCUGAUUUAAUAAUUAUAUACUUUUACGAAACCUGGUUUAUCGCUUCCAUCAUCACAUACACAAACUGACCUUUAAUCGUUGUGAAGUACCGUAAUAGUGGACGUAAUCUUAACAUGGAACCAGCGGCGCCAGUUUCCGGGAGUCUGUCCUUGUUCUUGGCAUUUUUCAAAUUCUCUGCGGUGUCGCCGUUUUUACACUGGAAAUUCUACCGCUGGCGUUCUACCGUGUCCACUGGACCGAAUGUGUCGGCAUUGUCCUGGGCCUCAUCUACGUCACAACCGGCACUGUGGCCAUUGCCGCCAGCACCGUCUUCCACAACACCAUCAGCGCUCGCUGCGCCCAUGGUCUGGCACUGGUUUCCUUGGUCCUCAACAUCGUGUCGACCUGCAGCUCUUUCAGCAUGCUUGUCUGGUGUUCGGUGAUUCUGAACAAUCUACUGAAUUCCCUAUGGAUUUUUGGUAUGCCCACGAGGAGAGCUGGGAGCAGACUUAUACGAAACAAGGGAGACUGGUUCAUCCAGCUGUAGCGGGAUUUUCCGGAUGGCAGAUAGCGUUUUUUCUCCUUAUGACCAUUGUCAGUUUCGCGUUGUCCGUGUGCAUUUACCGUGUUCUGAAGGCUCAGCGCGCGACCAACACAACCCGGACGUCCCCUGAGUCGGGCGCGUUUUGGGCGGUGCCAUUGCGGUAAAGAUGCUGGAGAAUCCAUCAGCAAGUUAGCAGCGAUUUCGCUUGGGUGUUGUUAAAGGAAAUGCUGUUGCUGUUUCGGACACUAUGGAUAUACGACGUAGUCACGUAUACAUUUAAAUGUGAAUUACGCCUGAAUGCACCUUUUGCUAUCCAGGCGACUUUUGCCCCAUAAAGAUUAAAAAAUGUUUAUGAACGAGUAAUCGUAUAAUGCCAAAACUGAUCAACUUAACUGGUCACCAAUUUAAAGAGUUAUUUCAUCGCUAUGUUGUGUUUCGAUUGGUCAA